GCUGAAACUCGCCUACAUGAAGCUGGAGUUACUAGUAAUCGCAGAUCAGAAUGCUGCGGUGAAUGCGUUCCCGGGUCUUGUACACACCGCCCGUCACACCACGGGAGUUGGAGACGCCCGAAGCCGACUAUCUAACCUUUUGGAAGAAGUCGUCGAAGGUGGAAUCAAUAACUGGGGUGAAGUCGUAACAAGGUAGCCGUAUCGGAAGGUGCGGCUGGAUCACCUCCUUU
rnacentral:rRNA from 1 species